ACCCUGCAGAGAUCUGAGGAGCAUAGCAAUGGAUAUCCAGCCUAAAUGAUUGAAAUCUGGCAGAAUUUCCGUCGGCAACGGAGCAAUCCCGGAAGUGGAACGUUUAGGGUGUAGAA